GAUGAACGCUAGCGGCAGGCCUAACACAUGCAAGUCGAGGGCAGCACGUCUUCGGAUGGUGGCGACCGGCGCACGGGUGCGUAACGCGUAUGCAACCUACCUCUUACAGUGGGAUAGCCCAGAGAAAUUUGGAUUAAUACCGCAUAGUAUACAGAUUCAGCAUUGGGACUGUAUUAAACAUUUAUGGGUAAGAGAUGGGCCAUGCGUUCUAUUAGUUAGUUGGAGUGGUAACGGCACCCAACGACAGCGAUAGAUAGGGCCCGUCGAGAGGGGAGUCCCCCACACUGGUACUGAGACACGGACCAGACUCCUA
rnacentral:rRNA from 1 species